rnacentral:rRNA from 1 species
UACGUAGGUGGCAAGCGUUGUCCGGAUUUAUUGGGUUUAAAGGGUGCGUAGGCGGCUUUGUAAGUCAGUGGUGAAAUAUGGCAGCUCAACUGUCAAGGUGCCAUUGAUACUGCGGAGCUUGAGUACAGAUGAGGUAGGCGGAAUUGACGGUGUAGCGGUGAAAUGUUUAGAUAUCGUCAAGAACACCUAUAGCGAAGGCAGCUUACUAGGCUGUAACUGACGCUGAGGCACGAAGGUGUGGGGAUCAAACAGG